CUCUAUUCGAUUUCAACCAGAUUCUUCCACAUCCUUCUCUAUUUUAAAUUCAAACGGCCUCUUCGUGCAUAUCAUUCUAUCGAUUUCAACUGCUCAACCGGUUUAGAUGGAGAUACUUCACAUCCUCUACUCGUAUAAAUUUGAAGCAGAGUGGAAGUCACAACCAGCGGAAUAGGUUGAUUGAAGAAGAUGACCAGGAGAUUGGUGUUGACUCUGAAAUCAACUUCUAUUCAAGUAUGCUGAGAUCCAAAGUGCAAUCUCUGUUGCAUUUGUUAUUGCAGAUAUGUCAAUUGGCAGCGAAAGAUAUGGGACAAGACAAUUACAUUGGACCUGUAGAACAUGUCAGAGAACAAGACACUGACACUGUUGGCACAUUGCAGGUUUGGUAUUUUCAAUGCUUAUGGAUUUGGUUGCAUCGACUAGCGAUGAUAAGACAAUGACAUUUGUUUUGAUGUAGUAUGUGUUACGGGUUGUUUUGUUUAUGUUGCAACUUUUAUCUAAUUUGGAUGACAGAUGUUUUUUUGCCUUUAAUGGAAGUUGGUUGGUUUGGCCAAAGUCCAUUGGUGGUAUCUUUUGGGAACUAGAAACCCACAAUAAUCCAUUUAUAUCAGUUUGGAAAUGCU